AUUGAACGCUGGCGGCAGGCCUAACACAUGCAAGUCGAACGGUAACAGGAAACAGCUUGCUGUUUCGCUGACGAGUGGCGGACGGGUGAGUAAUGUCUGGGAAACUGCCUGAUGGAGGGGGAUAACUACUGGAAACGGUAGCUAAUACCGCAUAACGUCGCAAGACCAAAGAGGGGGACCUUCGGGCCUCUUGCCAUCGGAUGUGCCCAGAUGGGAUUAGCUAGUAGGUGGGGUAACGGCUCACCUAGGCGACGAUCCCUAGCUGGUCUGAGAGGAUGACCAGCCACACUGGAACUGAGACACGGUCCAGACUCCUACGGGAGGCAGCAGUGGGGAAUAUUGCACAAUGGGCGCAAGCCUGAUGCAGCCAUGCCGCGUGUACGAAGAAGGCCUUCGGGUUGUAAAGUACUUUCAGCGGGGAGGAAGGGAGUAAAGUUAAUACCUUUGCUCAUUGACGUUACCCGCAGAAGAAGCACCGGCUAACUCCGUG
rnacentral:rRNA from 1 species